CUCCUAUCACUCACCUGAAGGGCAUCAGGCCUAAGCCUGCAGAUGGGUCUGGGGCUUCCUAAGUGGAGCAGUGGAGAUGGAGUCUCUCUUCUCGAGAAAACUAAGCUGGGCAAUAGCUCCUCAGGAAAACAGGGUAACAGCUCUGUGAUCCAACAAUUCUGAACUUCAGACAGCUCUGAAAACCAAAUCUUUUCCUCAUCAUUCAUCAUUGACUUGGUGGCCAAGCAGUUGACCUGCACUCAGGCUGGCCCUUUGUGAUCUUGUGACCUCAUUUGGGGUGAAUGGUUAUGUUUGCUGUUCAAGGGAUGGUUUAUGGGGAGCUCAUUUAGGCCCCACAGAGGUAUUAACCACUGUGUUACAAAUCUGAAAAACUCUUGAGUUCUAGAACACUUGUGGACUUCCAAGUAUUUCGGAUGAAGGCUUGGGGACCUUUUAUGAUUCCUUCUGACCCUCUUUUCUAAUUGCCAGAGCAAAUCUACCAGAUUUCAUUCACAGGUUGACCUUCAUUUAAAGAAUCUUUAUCCAGGAGCUUUUCAAAAGAUCCCUUGUUCUCAGAUAGGGAAGAAUAACAAGCCCCAGGCUGUGGGAACCUGUCCAGCUCUACCUGAAGGCAAGCCCAAGGAUUCUUAGUGACCACUGCCCAAUCUGUUUCCUAGAACUAUGCUUUUUUGACUCUGUGUGUUAUAGGACUCUUCUGCACCAUGUCCAUGCCCCCAAGACGCUGAUCCU
rnacentral:lncRNA from 1 species